rnacentral:lncRNA from 1 species
AUGCCAUGGUGGCAUAAUUUGGGGUGGCCUGCCCUGAGCCCAUUAUUGCCACAGGAAUGCCAGCAUGUUACAUCAUUAUUUGAACUGAAAAAUGAAAUCGGACUUUUUCUAACAGGAAAUAAAUCUUGUGUGGCUGGUUUGUGUGAUAGUGUGGGGUAUGAAGAGAAUUAUAGAAGACUCCAAGGUGGGAAGAGGAGAAGAAAAAUAAACUGGACUUUCUAUCCAUCAUGCUGUCAGACAGAGUCCAUGAUGGCUGGUUACCCAUCACAUACCAGUUGUUGGUGCAAUCCGACCAUGACAACACAACACUGGGAACACAUUUUGUACCGGGUGUAUCGUCCAUGUAUUUUUGGCUAAGUCUUCCUACCUAAAAUUGUGAU